CUACGGGACGCACCAGGCGCGAAACCUUUACAAUGCACGCAAGUGUGAUAGGGGGAUCCUAAGUGCUCUGGUUUUACCAGGGCUUUUGCCAAAUGUAAACAGUUUGGAGAAUAAGUGGUGGGCAAGACUGGUGCCAGCCGCCGCGGUAACACCAGCGUCCACGAGUGGCAACCAUAAUUAUUGGGCCUAAAGCGUCCGUAGCCGGUCUGAUAGAUUCUUUGUGAAAUUGUUUGGCUUAACCUAACAACGUGCAGAGGAGACCGUCAGGCUUGGAACCGGGAGGGGUUAGAGGUAUUCUGGGGGGAGCGGUAAAAUGUUAUAAUCCUCAGAGGACCACCUGUGGCGAAGGCGUCUAACCAGAACGGAUUCGACGGUGAGGGACGAAAGCUAGGGGAGCAAUCCGGAUUAGAUACCCUCGUAGUC
rnacentral:rRNA from 1 species